AGCGAAGUGGGAACAGCCCAAACCAAGAAGCUUGCUUUUUGGGGUUGUAGGACUGGACAUUUGAGUUACCAAGAGAUAACGUAGCUGAACGAUCUGGGAAGAUCGACCAAAGAAGGCAAUCGUCCUGUAAGCGAAACGUUGUUUCCUCAGUCCAGGAUCCUGAGUACGGCGGAACACGUGAAACUCCGUCGGAAUCCGGGAG
rnacentral:rRNA from 1 species